AUUGAACGCUGGCGGCAGGCUUAACACAUGCAAGUCGAGCGGGGGAAGGUAGCUUGCUACCGGACCUAGCGGCGGACGGGUGAGUAAUGCUUAGGAAUCUGCCUAUUAGUGGGGACACAAUCUCGAAAGGGAUGCUAAUACCGCAUACGUCCCACGGGAGAAAGCAGGGGAUCUUCGGACCUUGCGCUAAUAGAUGAGCCUCAGUCGGAUUAGCUAGUUGGUGGGGUAAAGGCCUACCAAGGCGACGAUCUGUAGCGGGUCUGAGAGGAUGAUCCGCCACACUGGGACUGAGACACGGCCCAGACUCCUACGGGAGGCAGCAGUGGGGAAUAUUGGACAAUGGGGGGAACCCUGAUCCAGCCAUGCCGCGUGUGUGAAGAAGGCCUUAUGGUUGUAAAGCACUUUAAGCGAGGAGGAGGCUACUUUAGUUAAUACCUAGAGAUAGUGGACGUUACUCGCAGAAUAAGCACCGGCUAACUCUGCGCCAGCAGCCGCUGUAA
rnacentral:rRNA from 1 species